GUGCUCGCUUUUGCAGCAUGUAUACUAAAAUUGGAACGAUACAGAGAAGAUUAGCAUGGCCCCUGUGCAAGGAUGACAUGCAAAUUCAUGAAGGAUUCCAUAUUUAU